rnacentral:sRNA from 1 species
UAUCCUUCCCGGUAACUUUCGGAAGCCUUUGCAACCCUAGAGGGGUCCGCGACUCUAAAUACUGGAUGCAAGUAGCCCCGUGCUGCAACAUGAUCGAAUUGCGGGGACGUCCUAAAACCUUCGGUACCACCGCCCCAGGGAAACCUGCGGCGGGUCUGCUCCGCGCAGAGGGUCACAACCCGGAGGAUGCUACAAUGGAUGAUCCGCAGCGAAGCCCCUCCCGGCGCCAGCCUACGGGGAACGUUCACAGACUAAGUGGUUGUGGGUAGGGUUCCGCCCUGCUUAAGAGAUAGUCGGACGCGGGAGGCGACUCCCGCGGCUCAUCGUUCCGUAGGUGAACCUGCGGAAGGAUCAUUACAGAGUACCUGCCCUCACGGGUAGCGCUCCCACCCUUGAAUACAUAAUUGUCUGUUGCUUUGGCGGGCCGCGAGCAUGCUCGCCCUGUGUGCCCGCCAGAGGACCUCGAAACUCUGAAUGUCAGUGUCGUCUGAGUACUAUCUAAUAGUUAAAACUUUCAACAACGGAUCUCUUGGUUCUGGCAUCGAUGAAGAACGCAGCGAAAUGCGAUAAGUAAUGUGAAUUGCAGAAUUCAGUGAAUCAUCGAAUCUUUGAACGCACAUUGCGCCCCUUGGUAUUCCGGGGGGCAUGCCUGUUCGAGCGUCAUUAUGACCAAUCCAGCGUGCUGGGUCUUGGGCCGCGCCUCCCUGGCGGGCCUUAAAAUCAGUGGCGGUGCUCUCCAGCUCUACGCGUAGUAAUCAUUCUCGCGACAGGGCUGGGUGGGAUGCUGGCCAACAACCCCCAACUUUCUUAGGUUGACCU